GAAUUCUUUCUUGCGUGAGAUCCAGGCACCCUCUCUUGGCGUCUGGAUCCAGACCUCUUUCCUGUAACAACUUAGCAUUCAGUUUCAGGUAACAUUUUAGUAUGAUUAAUAGGGGCUCUUUGGGCAAAUGUGCAUGUUGUGGAUUUUGAGGGAAAAGAGAGGUGAUGGAAGGUGCCAGCACACACAGACACUGAGGAUAUUGGACAGACAAUGUGAUGCUGAUGUGGAGCAACUCUGGCCUGAGAGAGAGAAUUUGAUUCUAGGACCAAGGAGUAGCUGCACAGUUCUGCAGGCACUAGCUAUGUCACCAUGAUCGCCUCUGCCUGAGUCUCAGUUUUCUCAUCUACAAAAUGAUCAUCACACUCUUUACUUUCCAUGAGAUAUUGGGUGCAAAUAUGCCGAAUAAACUGUGAAAAGAAAUUCUUUGUGAUUCCCAAAUACAAGGAUGAACAAAAAAGGGGUCAAGUGAAUCAGCUGGAGGGGUUCAGCCUCGGAAUGGGGGAGUGCUUUUCUGUUUGUCUUUCCAACAAUAGACGUGAUUCUACACAUGCCCUCAUGGGCUCAGCCUACAGUGCAGGGAGAUUGGGCCCUCGCUAGGAGUUAAGAAUUUGUGGAUCUGAUGUAGAAUUUGCUGCUUCUGACUCCUCGAUUUGAACCCUUCCUGAACUGGGCAUCAACUCCCAGUUCGGUUUCUGGCUAAGCCCCUUUCUUCAAGCAUUUUGUGUGAGCUCCUGGCAUCUUAGCUCCUGUUCUAAAGGAUCUCUCCUUUCUCCUGCACUGGCAGAUGGAUUGAAAAUGAAGAGGCAGGCUUGGUGCAUGAAGAUGAUUCAUACGCAAUGUGAUCUGUGUUCUGAUGAAGGGAAUUUGGUUCUGUGGCAUUGCUGGAGGUGACGUGCUUCAGUUGCGGAAGACUAAAUUAUUUGGGAUCCAUUGACCCCGGCCUUGAAAUUCAGCUGCAGGAUGGAGCUGACAUCACCCAAGCUCAAGUCCACUCUGCUUCUGCUUCCUCAACACAAUGAGCUGGCCACUGUUCCUACCACUUUGACAGCAGAGAAAGAGGCAGAGAGGAUCUGGGGCUGGGGCUGGAGCUACAACUGGAGGGAAUUCACAAGCAAGCUGCAUUUUAAGGUUGUGGUGAAGAAAGAAGAAGCCAGAAGAAGAGAGUUCCUCAAUAUUGGAGAAUACCAUCCAAACCUUGUUAUAAAGCACAUGAGAUUCUGGGGUGCCUGCAUGAUUGAGCUUACACUUUAUCAGGAGAAUUGUUGACACUGAUUAUAGAUGUUGAAAAACUCAAUAUUUAGAGGAGAAAAUUGAUAAAAGUUUUAUUUGGUUAUAUAAAAAUAAUACUGAGAACAGUCAUUUAUGUGGUUACUUAACAGUCACUUAUGUGGUUAUUUAUGGCUUUUGCUGUGCAGUAAAAUGAAUACUAUGUAGCAUUUUAAAUUGGUGUCGAAUUAACUGUGUAAACUGCUUUUGAUUAAACUUCUCAGCUAGUGACUCAUGGUUCACAAUUUAAAAAAUUUCAGUGAACAUUAAUGUGUCUCACUCCAGUGUUGUCUUAUAAACUUUUGCAUGUGUACUGUUUAUUUUGUCUUCUCAGAUACACCAGAAACAAACUAAAGUUAUGUUUUAAUAAUUUUCUUCUAUACAUAUAUCCAAUAAAUAAAAUAGUAUCCAUAAAAAAAAUUAACUUUAUCAUUUGCACUUUGUUUCUUUCAUACAUGAGAUUU